rnacentral:rRNA from 1 species
AACGAACGCUGGCGGCAGGCCUAACACAUGCAAGUCGAGCGCCCUUUCGGGGGCGCGGCGGACGGGUGAGUAACGCGUGGGAAUAUGCCCUUCUCUACGGAAUAGCCUCGGGAAACUGAGAGUAAUACCGUAUACGCCCUGUGGGGGAAAGAUUUAUCGGGGAAGGAUUAGCCCGCGUUGGAUUAGGUAGUUGGUGGGGUAAUGGCCUACCAAGCCGACGAUCCAUAGCUGGUUUGAGAGGAUGAUCAGCCACACUGGGACUGAGACACGGCCCAGACUCCUACGGGAGGCAGCAGUGGGGAAUCUUAGACAAUGGGGGCAACCCUGAUCGAGCCAUGCCGCGUGAGUGAUGAAGGCCUUAGGGUUGUAAAGCUCUUUCAGCUGGGAAGAUAAUGACGGUACCAGCAGAAGAAGCCCCGGCUAACUCCGUG